rnacentral:rRNA from 1 species
UGUUCCUACGGGACGCAGCAGUGAGGAAUAUUGGUCAAUGGGCGGAAGCCUGAACCAGCCAAGUCGCGUGAGGGAAUAAGGCCCUACGGGUCGUAAACCUCUUUUGCCGGGGAGCAAGGGCGGGGACGUGUCCCGGCCCGGAGAGUACCCGGAGAAAAAGCAUCGGCUAACUCCGUGCCAGCAGCCGCGGUAAUACGGAGGAUGCGAGCGUUAUCCGGAUUUAUUGGGUUUAAAGGGUGCGUAGGCGGGCUUUUAAGACAGCGGUAAAAUCGCGGGGCUCAACCUCGCUCCGCCGUUGAAACUGG